GCCCUCUUAGUUAAGUGGAUAUAACGGACCCCUCCUAAGGGUCAGUCAUCAGUUCGAUUCUGGUAGAGGGUGCCA
rnacentral:tRNA from 1 species